rnacentral:rRNA from 1 species
ACUCCUACGGGAGGCAGCAGUGGGGAAUAUUGCACAAUGGGCGCAAGCCUGAUGCAGCCAUGCCGCGUGUAUGAAGAAGGCCUUCGGGUUGUAAAGCACUUUCAGUAGGGAGGAAGGUGAGUGUAGUUAACACCUGCAUUAUUUGACGUUACCUACAGAGAAGCACCGGCUAACUCCGUGCCAGCAGCCGCGGUAAUACGGAGGGUGCGAGCGUUAAUCGGAAUUACUGGGCGUAAAGCGCAUGCAGGCGGCCUGUUAAGUCAGAUGUGAAAGCCCGGGGCUUAAGCCUCGGAAUUGCAUUUGAAACUGGCAGGCUAGAGUCUUGUAGAGGGGGUG